AUGCUCAGAGGACGUUCCGUGGAACCGUGGCCAGACCGGGGGAUUAAGCAAAGCUCAGUGGGGUUGAUCCGCGCAGGUCAUCUCAGAGGUUUUCCUGUGCUCCUGUGUUUUGCUCAGCUUUCCAGAAGCACUUACCUCCAACCGUCAGGAUUACUUUUUGGCUCUAACUUGUGCCUCACACUCUGUUCUUCCACCCGAGGUGUUGCUUCCAGAGGGCAGAGGCCGUGAGUACCUUCUCUCCGCCCCGC
rnacentral:lncRNA from 1 species